GUCAGGCCACCUGGUUCAGAGUGUUCUGAGAGACCAAGGGUUAGGUCUGGCUGAGGGCAUUUUGGAUAGAAACUGACCCGUAAACAUGCCCCAAUGUUCUCUUCUCCUCCGAAAGCAUUGAGAAGUUGGUCUUCCCCAAGUUCAAGGUCUUCCCACAUAGUUUAAUUGUUGCUUCACUGUAUUCUUCAAUCAAUCUCCUACAAACAUCACAUUGAAAAAUUAGUACUUUGACUUAUGACAUGCAAUAGUGUUUCCUAGUAAUUCAAAUGGGCUUAAUAAGUUCAGAAAUAAUAAGUCGUCAUGACCAAUGAUACUUCACACUUGAAAAGAACACUCUAACAAAAUAAACGUAUGCAGUGUUCUUUCCACAAUAAACUGAUAACAUAAUUUAUGUGUCUAAAAAGCCACCUAAAACAGACGAUUCUAUAUAUUUUGGCGUUAGUAAUAUCAUUAUAUACACAAAGGAAAUGUCAUAAAAGCACGUUUUCAACGUUGGUAAUAAAUUUAUACCAGAAAAAUGAAAAAUGAAAAAUGAAAAAUACCUGCAUGAAGAUGGGAGAGCAGGCCACUUCUUGUGGUUUCUGAGCUGGAGAGGCAUGCAUUGAAGAAAGUAAUAAUCACUCCAAUCCAGAAUAGCCCCCUUCUCAACUCCCAGCCGACUUCCGUACCCUUCGUACGUACUCGGCUUGUUGGAGUACUCCUGCUUCACCUCCAGCGGCUGCCCAAAGAACUCGCGCCAUGUCUCCCUCGCCUGCUUCAUCAGCUCGUGGUUCACCCCGUGGUUCACCACCUGAAAAAAACCCUCACUCCCUGCAGGCGCUCGAGAUCGAACGUAUAGUCGACUCGUGGAGGCUCCUCUUGUCGCUCAAAAGGUCCUGAAGGUCAAUGACUGGGAUGUUGACGUCAGCAUGCGGUGGUCGUUGGUGUUUGGCGGUGAUGGUCGUUUGGAUGGUGGCUGGAUGUAGAGUUCGGGGAUUGCAGUUAUGCCGCUUUCUGCUAAGGACUGGACUCUCACGAUAGGCUCAGGCCAAGACUGAAAGCAGCUCAUGAUUGUGGUUAUGUUUCUAGAAAGAUGGGUUUAAAUCUGCAAUGCAAGAGCGAGCCAGUAAGAGGAGGAGAUAGGAGGUUUAUAUAGAGUAGUGGAAGGAGGGUGAGGGUGGGGGAAUUUCUGGUUCUGACAAACUAAGUCCCCAAGUGAGCUUUAUCUAGCUGGCAUUUCUCAUCGGGUGCAUGAGGUCGUAUACUCGUCCUGUCGUGAGUCCUUGCUUUAGAUAUAUGAUUCAUUGAAGGAAACUAAAGUUGAGUACAAUCACAAAAUGUAACAUUGUUGGAGAUUCUGCCAUUUCUGGAAAAUGGUUUCUAAUCAAGCCACUUCCUGAUGAGGAAUAUAAUAUAAUUGAGUUCUGAAGGUUGAGAAUCUUGAGAUGAGAUAAAAGUACGAAGGAUAGGUUUUAGUAAACAUAGUUUCUAUUUUCGACUUCCUGGUGGACUUCUUAACAUCGGUUCCCAGUAGGAUUUCAUUGGACAAUACAAGUUGUCAUCGGCGGACCAACGAAGGGACCACAACGGUUCCAGGCCCAACUUAACAUUUUUUUUUAACGCAUAAAAGUUUAGUGUUAUACUUAUAUUUUUUAAGGUUUUUAGUUUAAUUUCUUCUUUGGGUUUGAUUUGAGAUUAGUGGCUCCUGUAAAGUUUAAGCAAUCCGUUGCUUGUGAGUUUUGAGCACAGAUUUAAAUAUCGAUAUUAUCGGCGAUAUUUCGCCGAUAAUAUCGAUUUUUCCGGUCGGCGAUAUUUUAACUGGUUUCCGUGGGGUUUUCGGCCAAAUAUCGCGAUAUUAUCGAUAAUAUCGAUAAUAUCGCGAUAUUUGGAAAUUAUCGGCGAAAUAUCCAUGGACGGUGGAAUCGGAAUCCGAGGCGACGUCGGAGAAGAACGCCGGAGACCGUGGGGCGAUUCCCGGGCCGGUUUCGUCCCAAAAACCUUGCAAAAACACAAAUCUUAACAUUAAUUUCACAAAUAUACAUCAGAUUUCACAAAUAUACAAACGAUUCAAGGCAAGGUGAAGUCGGAGAGAUUAGGGUUUAGGGUUUCAUGGAAUCUCACCUGACGAAGCGGAAUACGAACGAUCCUUGCUUCGCGGCGCACCUCUGACUUCGCCUGAGCCACGAUCAACGGCGAUCUCUGUGUGUGUGUGUGUUUGGGAGAAGAGAGAUCGAAGAAGAUGGAUCCAGAAACCCGAUCGAAGAAGAAGGAUCCAGAAACCAGAUCGAAGAAGAAGGAUCCAGAUCGCGGGAGAGACGAAGACGGAGAGACCGAGGGAGAGACGGAGACGGAGAGACCGAGGCAGAGACGGAGACGGAGAGACCGAGGCAGAGAUGGAGACGGAGAGACCGAGGGAGAGACGGAGACGGAGAGACGGAGACGGAGAGACCGAGGCGAGGCAGAGACGAAGACGGAGAGACUGAGGGAGAGACGGAGACGGAGAGACCGAGGCAGAGACAGAGACGUAGAGACGGAGAUGGCGAUGAGGUGGUGUCGCCGUUGAUGUGGUGUGGAAGUGAGGGUGUGGGUUGUUCACGGGGAGAAGGAGAGAGUGCAGAGAGUGCAGAGAGUGCAGAGAGUGCAGAGAGGGCGAAGAGGAGGAAUGAGGGUUGUUCACGGGGAGAAGGAGAGAGUGCAGAGAGCGAUGAUGGGGUGUCGCCGUUUAAGUGGUGUGAAAGUGAGGGUGUGGCGUGUGGGUUGGUUCACGGGGAGAAGGAGAGAGUGCAGAGAGAGUGCAGAGAGAGAGCACGGUAGAGAUGAGAGAGUGAGGGAAAAGAGAGAUCUGAGAGAAAAGAGAGACGGUGACACAAAAGCAAGGUGGGCCCUGGGCACACCUAUUAAGAUCAAAAAAUAAUUUUAAAAGUAAGAUAAAUGAAAAUACAAUUUAAAUUGGGGGUGGGUGUAACAAUCUACCCCUCUUAAAAGAAUUUCGUCUCUUUAAUUUAAAAUUACUUACUAAACUGAAAUACUAGAAAAUAGGAAGAAGAAUAUAUGUAUAAAGAGAAAUCAAGUCCAAAUAAUUACAUCAUAUUAAAAUUUGAUUAAUUUUUUUUUCAGUUACAUAUAUUCUAUAUGAUAAAUUUCUAUUUUAAAUCAAGUCCAAAUAAUUACAUCAUAUUAAAAUUUGAUUAUUUUUUUUUCAGUUACAUAUAUUAUAUAUGAUAAAUUUCUAUUUUAAAUCAAAUCCAAAUAAUUACAUCAUAUUAAAAUUUGAUUAUUUUUUUUUCAGUUACAUAUAUUAUAUAUGAUUAAUUUCUAUUUUAAAUCAAGUCCAAAUAAUUACAUCAUACUAAAAUUUGAUUAAUUUCUUUUCAAGUAUCUACUUUUGAACUACUCACCCACGUUCAUUCUAUGUGAUGCUAAGUCACUCAUGUAUCUUACCAUACAAUGUAUAAAGUGUAAAAUAUUGUACUAAUUCAUUAUAUAUAAAUGAUUAUGGUGUGUUUAAACUUAUUUUAUUAAUUACUACAUAUUUUCUACACUUACAAUGUUUGCCAGCUUGCUAUAUAAUCAACUUAAAUCUGUUAAAUCCAUCAUGCAAUGCAUUUCCUUCCAAUUUUUUGUGAUAAACUAAUAGAUAAUUGACUAAAUAAACAUCCUGCAAAGUUUCAAUAAAAAUUUCCAAGUUUUUCUUACAAUUUCCGUGGUUUCCAUGUAAUUUUUAUCGAUAUCGAUAUUUUACCGAUAUUUCCAUCGAUAUUUCCGUGUUUUCGGACUACCGAUAUUUCCGAUAUCACCGAUAUUUUCUUCCUUGGUUUUGAGGAGGGAGGAGAGAGGAAGACAGUUAGAAAGACAUGGGGUUUUAGGUUUAAUAAUGAUAAUGAUGAGGACAACACCAUAGUAGACUAAAAUGACGAUAGUUAGUUCCUCAUCACACAACAAAGUAUGUUAUGUUAGAUUAUGAGAGCUUUUCAGAUUGAGACUUUGGAGCCCCUUGGGCCAUCUCUAACCGAUCCAGCCAGAGGGCCUUAGGGCUCCAAAUAGCCCGAAAUGGCACGAUAACAGUCUCUAAUCGAGGGUUAGGCCAAAGGACUCGUGGGCCCCACCGGACCAAAAAUACCAAAUUAGGCCAACUGGCUGGCCCAAAUGAACCAGCCCAAAGUUUGAAUUGCCACGGCUACCUAGCGUCAGCAUGACUCCAACUAGCCAUAGCUAUGUCACAUCCCGACCCGAGCCCCCACCACAUCCCAGGCUUGACUCUGCCAUAGCACAAUAUUGUUCGCUUUGGGCCCCGACCAUGACCUCACGGUUUUGUUUCUGGGAACUCACACGAGAAAUUCUUAGUGGGUCACCCAUCAUGGGAUUGCUUUCGCGCGAACUCGCUUAACUUCAGAGUUCUGAUGGAACCCGAAGCCAGUGAGCUCCCAAAAGGCCUCCCACUCCCUUGGACGAUGUGAGAUGUUACAAUCCACCCCCUUUAGGGGCCCGACGUCCUUGUUAGCACACUUCUGGUCAGGGAUUGACUAUGAUACCAAAUUGUCACAUCUCGAGCUCGACUCCGCCUUAACACAAUAUUGUCCGCUUUGGGCCCCGACCAUGCCCUCACAAUUUUGUUUCUAGAAACUCUAGGAACUCACACGAGAACUUCCUAGUAGGUCACCCAUCAUGGGAUUGCUCUCGCGCGAACUCGCUUAACUUCGGAGUUCCGAUAGAACCUGAAGUCAGUGAGCUCCCAAAAGGUCUCGUGCUAGGUAGAGAUGAGAAUAUACAUAUAAGGCUUAUAGGAUCCACUCCCCUAAGAGAUGCAAGAUGCUACAAGCUAGCUGAGGUCAUGUUGACGCCAGGUAGCCGUUGGAUUUGAAUUAUUAUUAUUUUUUUUUUGGGACAAAAUUUAAAAAAUAAAAAAUAAAAAAUCUAAUUCUUUUUCCUGUAACUACCUAAGCCAUUAAACAACAUUAAACAAUAUUAAACAACAUUAAAUAACAUUAAACUUAAACAACACAAUCUCCACCCUAGUACUACUUGGGCAAGUUAUUCAAAUUUAAACAACAUUAAAAAGAAAAACAUUUAACAACAUAAAACUUAAACGCCCACUCCAUGCUUCUUUUGGUCCAAAGAUGUGGAACAAGAUCUUGUUGUAAGUACUUAUUUGUGGCAUGCUAACGUAUCAUCCUAUGGCGCUAAAUGUACUUAUUUAAAGAGAUAUUACCAGUUCUUGAAUCCAAAGGCAAAUGAGGCCCAUCAUAUAUUUUUGCUCGAGCUUUUCUUAACCUAUUUGGAUCCUCUUGGUUGUCAUCAAACUUUCCAUCAAUAUAGCCAUCUCGCUCUUCCUCCACAAUCAUGUUGUGUAAUAUGAUGCACGACAUUAUGAUGGAGUUCAAAUUUUCUCGACUCCACCCUCUUGUCGGUUCGUUAAUGAUCUUACACUGUGCUUGUAGAAUAUCGAAAGCUCUCUCAAUAUCUUUCCAGUAUGCCUCUUGGUGUAAGGUAAAGCGCCUUUGGGUGUCAUCCACAUGGUUUUCAAUUGCUUGGACAAGUGUUUCCCACUUCGGGUAGAUGUCAUUUGCCAAGUAAUACCCCAUAUUGUACUGAGGCUCAUUGAUGUAGUAGCAAGUUUAGGUGAUUUACCCUCCAUCAGGUUAUUGAAGAUGGGUGAACGCCCAAGUACUGUAAUGUCAUUUUGGGAUCCUAGGACUCCAAAGAAAGCAUGCCAGAUCCAUGUGUCAAAUGAGGCAACCGCCUCUAACAUAAUCGUUGGCUUUCUCAAUCUUCCGCUAAAGCCUUCUUGCUAUCUAGUGGGACAGUUCUUCCACUGCCAAUGCAUGCAAUCUAAUAACCCUAUCAUGCUCGGAAAGCCAAGGUCAUCAGCUUUUUUGAAGAAGCCGAUCUAGAUCUGCUUGAUUUGGUUCACGGACAUACUCGUUUUUGUAAAUCUGAACAACUGUGUGACAAAACUUAGCAAGAUUAUCAAGACAUGUAGACUUAGACAUACCAUAUUAUAAUCUAUCGCAUCAGUUGGGGAGGCGUAGGUCAGCAUUCGGAGUGCAAUAAUAACCUUUUGAUGAGGUGAGAAACUAGGGCGGCCUGCUCUAUCCAGCUUUUGUCAAAAGUAUGGAUUGACAUGUUGGACAUCAUGAAGUAAACGCUCGAAAACAUGACGCUUCAUCCGGAAGCGACGUCUGAAAUCCUUUUUGGUGUACACCGAGUUGGGGUUGAAGUAGUUGUUCAUCAGAGUCUCAUGCGCCAUCUCUCUAUUUCGUGGUUUGUAAGAGCGACCAGCAAAAGAUCCACCCUAUUGGGGUUGUUCUUCAGUUGCCUCACACGCCAUAACCCCAACCAUUGCUACCAUAUAUGUUGUGUUUCACCAUGCUUUAUCUUCUUCGUCGGACUCCUCAUCUUCUUGUCUCAUCUACACUCAUUUAUCUUCCAAUUCAAAAUUGGACGAGGACUCCCAGUUGGAAUGCGAAGAUGAUCUAAAGUUGGAAUUCAUUGCAAACUUGAAUUGAAAGAGAUAUUGGAGGGCAAAGAUGAAGGUGCGUGAAUCAUAGCCUAAUAUACACCCUAUUUAUGGACAUUGGAAGCUGAAGAUAAAAAGUGCCAGCCAGAUAAAAAUCCUAUCUAAAAUUCGCAUAACCAAUUACAUCUCGAUACGCAGCACUCGAAAUCCUAUCAAAAAAAUUAUUGAAAUUACAUAUCGACAAAAAAUUUGGAGAGUUACUCACAUAUCGACACAUGACACUUGAAAUCCUAUCUGAAAAAUUAUUGAGAUUACACAUCGACAAGAAAUCGGGAAAGUUACUCACAUAUAGACAAGUGGCACUCAAUCCUACCCGAAAAAUUAUUGUGAUUACAUCUCGAAAAAUGAUUGAGGUAGUUUAAUUUAAGUAACCAUAUUAAUUCAAUUAAAAUAAUAAAUUAUGUUCAACCUAUAGCCCUUUGGCCCCCUCGGUUGGAGAUGAUUUUUUGUCAUAGGGCUAUAUUUGGCCUAUGACCCUUGGCCUCUUCGGUUGGAGAUGGUAAGAAAUAUGGCCUGACACGAUUCAUUAAAAUAUUAGGGGGUGUAGUCAAACUAGGAUUUGAUAGUAUUUUAAUAGACUUUAAAAUCGGAGUGUAGUCAAUUAAGAGUUUGAAUGUGGAUUUUAAAAUAUUUUAAAAUCAUGGUGUAGUCAAAUUAGGAUUUAGGAGGAUUUAAAGAAUACAUCCAAAUUCAUAGGUAGUCAAUUAAAAGUUUAAAAAGUCCAUACAAAUCUAGGUGUAGUGGAAAUUUCGAAGAUUUGCUAGGAUAUUUGUGAAUGAAGGAUUUUAAAGGAUUUGAGAGUGGGUGAUAUAAAUACCAAAUGCUAUCAACAAUCCAACCCUCCCGCCUUAGAUUUCUUUUCACACCAAACCAUAGAAGGUGAACAGUCUUACCAUCUGUUUAGAGCAUUUCCCAGUAGACUCCCCGUUUUCGCAUUGUUUAUGUAUUUUUCUGAAUUCAUGCUCUUGGUUUGUUCCUUUGGGAAGAUGAGCAACAAUCGGAAUUUUUUUUUUUGAAUUUGGAUUAUAGUUGUAAGUUGUUUGCUUUAUACUCGUGCUUUUUCCGAAUUGAGAUUCUCUCAUUUGCACUUUUGAUUUUUCUAAGUUGGGCUUUUCCCAUUUGCACUUCUGAUUUAAGCCUUUUUUUUUUCCUGCAAAUUAGUGUCCAUGUUUUUGGGUUCAAAUGUUUCAUUUGUUUAUUGUUUUUUGUCGUGGUUAAAAUGUUUUUAUCCCAGAAUUUUGCUGCCUAAAUAUGCCCUACUCAAUUUCGAUUGUCAUUUGGUAUUCUUUCACAUAUAUUAUUAUUAUUCAUGAUUAGAUAUCCUGUUCUUGAACUUGAAAUCAUCAUUCUUAAGAGCAACUCCACCGGGAACAAAAUGUCCCAGCCCUCAGUCCAAAAAACAAGCCAGCCCUCAGUGAAUUUGCUCCAGCCCACAAAAUGUCCCAGCCCCCAGCCCAUGCCAGGCAACAGGCCAGCCCAUUUCGGACAGACCCAGAGGCCGGCCUAUUGGCUGGCGCGUGCAGCAGAAUCGCGCCUGUGCGCGAGUAGUAGACAGGGUUGCAGGCGGCAGGGCCCGCUUGUCAGCCCACUUGUGUUCACCCGGAAUAGGGCUACGUGGCCCUCCUCAAUGCCGUUGGAUUUCCAACGGCUAUUUUUUGUAGACCGUUGGAUUUCCAACGGUAAAAAAAAUUUAAAUUUGACUUUUAAAAUGGACCGUCCGAUCACAGAUCAACGGUCCACGUUAAUUAACUAAAUUAAAAUUUAUUAAAAAAUACAGAAAAAUUAUUAAAAAAUACAGAAAAGUUUAAAAAAAAAAAUUCUAUAAAUACCUAACCCUCAUCUUCCACCUUACACCACAUUUCAAUAUUUUCUACACUUUCUACCAAAGCUUUCAUAUACUUUUUGUGUGAAAAAAAAUACCAAAAAGCUUGUGGUUGAAGAAUAAAGUGUAUUUGAUGAGUUUAUGUAAUUUCAUUUUAGUGUGUUUUUUUUUAUAGUUUAUUUGAUGAGUUUAUGUAAUUUUAUUUUAGUGUGUUUUUUUUAAAAGUUUAUUUGAUGAGUAUGUAAUUUUAUUUUAGUGUGUAUUUUUUUUAAGUUUAUUUGAAAUUUAUCCAAAAUUGGUUAAAAAUCUUAUCCGAAAUAAACUUUAAAAAAAACACACCAAAUAAAUGCGCUGGGUGCCAGCGCAUUUUUUUAGGUGUGGAGAUGCCUUGGUCUAUUACUAUUCACUCCAGUCUAUUACUGUUCACUUGAGUGGAUAAAUACGCUGGGUGCUGGCGCAAAGUCCUUAGGGAUGGAAUUGCUGAUGUUCUAAAGCAGAAGCUAUUCUUUACAAUUAUUCAAACUCUUGGAUCAAUAUUCUCGAUGCCCCAUUCUAUUUACAUAUUUGAUUGGUUUGUAUUUCUAUUUCCUUUCAAUUUAUGUUCUUUUCAAAUUGUUUACUAAAAAAGAAAUUCAUUUUAUGUUGUAGGAGUCAACUAAAAUCCUAAGAAAUACAUUCAAAUCCAUAAAAAUCUAUAAUAGAAAUCCAUAUAAAUCUGUCAAAAUCCACGUAGAAUUGUAAAUCUAUUAAAAUUCUUUUUAAUUUGUCACUUAAAAAAAAUUCUAUUAAAAUCCUCCGAAAUCCAAAUUGACUACACCCACCUUAAUUUCUUGGAGGGCUAUAGGACUAAAGGGAGCCCUCUGAUCCUCCAUCGGUUGGAGAUGGCCUUAGGCUAAAAUCUUGGCUAAUUUGAGUAGGACCACCACUAGAGGUUGUCAUUUAGCCGUUUAGGUAUUAAUGGCUAAUUAAUUACUUAAACAGAUUCUCUAAAAGCUUGCAAUUAAUUAGUUUAGGUAAAUAGAGAAAAUAUGACCGGGCCAAGUGUUGUUUGUUUACAGAGAGGGCAGGAUAAGGGAAAGAGAUCCUCUCCGGAUCUCUUCUCCAAAGCCCAAGGAUCAAGUGAUCCAAACUUUUAAAAUUUGAUUCAACGGUUAAAAAUUAUUAUAACUUUUAAAAGUUUUUAUUAACUUUCCUGUUUUUAACCGUUAGAUUAAAUUUUAAAAGUCCAAAUCACUUGAUACUUGAGUUUUGAAGAGAGAGAUCCGGAAAUGAUCUCUUUCCUAAGAUAAGAAUCGAUAAGACGACUACUUUUUAUAGGAUGAGCUUAUCUGUUUGGUACGUUUAAAAAUAUAUUUGAACAAAAAAAAAAUCCCUAAUAUAGUCUGAAAGUACUAAGAGACGACUGCCCGUUUAUAUAGAUUACAAACAUGAACUUGCAUAUGUGGAAGGACAGUGCCCAUUUUAUUCAUCAGGAUGCUAUGUAGCACCAAACCAACGUCUACUCAUCUACGUCUUUCUUAUUACCCAAAGCGUACUGAAAGGAUAUUUUAUCGAACAAUACUUGGCUACUAAAAACUGAGUUAAAACUCUUACUUAAAAUUCUUAGUAUUUUAAUCACAGAGCUUUGUGCUUAUAAUCAUAAUCGCUCAUACUAUGAAUCACACUAUAACGAUCAUCUCUGCAAAAAAUAAAUUAAAGCUAAGGUCAUUUAGUCAAUGUAUUAUAGCAAAUACAUAGAUAAUUCGUAAUGCUUGUACCAAUACCGUUCAUUUGUUUUUAAACAGUUUGAUGACUAAACGACCUUAGUUUUAAUUGAUUUUUUGCAGAUGCGAUCUUUAUAGAGUGAUUUAUAAUAUGAACGGUUUUGAUUAUAAACACGAACUUCUAUAAAUUGACAACGACCAAUUUUGAUAAAUCUUAAGUAGGAGUUCCUACUCAUCUUUGAGUAGCCAAGUAUUGUUCUUGUAAGUUCUAUUUUUUCCCUUAAUCCAUUGAAAAUUUUGGUUUGAUUGGGUGAAUUAUGAAGACAUUUUUAAUUCAAUUCAAGGUUCUAAAAGAUGUUAGGUGCUAGUCAGGCAGUGGAUUGGGGCCUAGCGUUUAGGCGGAUUUAAGUAAAUCUAUUGUAUUUCGUGUAAAUAAAUGUCUGUUUAUAUUUAAAAUAUAAAUAAUUUCAUCAUAAAUUAGAAAAUAGAAUGACAUAUAUAUUAUGAAGUAUUGGAACAUAAUGAAAACAUGGAAAACAAACAUAUAAUGUGUGUUUAUUUAAGUAUUCAAUAAGUCUUUUACAAUUAUUGGAAACAACAAAAUGCAAAAGGAAAAUUAUUUAUUUUCUAUUUAAGUGAGUUGCCAUCUAGGCAGGUGUCUAGACAGGUCUGGGCGGGCUAGUUACUUAGACGGCCUAGGUGGUUUAGGCGGGCGCAUCAGUAGGUCUAGGCGCCCUUUCUUAAUUUUCAAAUGCUUAGGCAUUAAUCUGGACGGUGGCCAGUUGCCUAGCGCGUGGGGAUUUUUAGAACAGUGGUUUAAUUACAUAUAUAAGUGAUCACCAUUUUUUGAAAAAAAAAUGGGGAUUAGUUGUGGACUCAUUUCACAUUGAACUUCAACAAUCCAAAUCGUUUAUUUUUUAAAUUGCACCUCAUAGAUCAUUCUUGCAAAAUAUUAGCCAAAUUAAAAACAUUUGGGGCACCUAAUUUGGUUUAAAUAAUUGACGAAUGUCAUGUUCUAAGAAACAUUGAAAUUUAUUCGUGACAAUUAAAUAGAUAAAUGAUUUCGGAUUAAAUUGAAUUUUUGCAAGAAUGAUCUAUGAAUUGACACUUACAAAAGUUCAGAUCGUUGAAAAUUGAUGUGAAGUGGGACUAAUCCCUAUUUUUUGAAACAAAUGGGGAUCCCUUCCCUUGAACAUAUAUAUAUACAUAUAUAUAUAUAUAUAUAAUGAAUGUAACGGAGUUUGCUAUAUAAGUCUUGCAUUAUACAUAAGAAAACUGAAAUUUCACGUGAAUUUUUAUGUUCAAUAUUGUGAAUGAUGAAUGUAGGUUGUGAAUGAUGAAUUUAUGUUCAAUAUGCAUUAUACAUAUUGUGAAUGAUGAAAGACGACUGCCCGUUAAUGGAACCCUGAAUAAUAUUCCCAAAUCUUAUCAUCUUAAAUUAGAAAAAGUGAUAGAUUAUGACGCCUUUAGAUUACCACUUAGUACUACGUUUAAUGGUAUUCCUCUUCACUGGUAAGUGAGAGGUCUUAAGUUCGAUUCUCGUCAAAGACGAAUUUGAACCACACCACCCUCUCCCUCCCUAAUCUAGAUAAUAUUGUUUGUUUGUUUGCAUACAAACCAUUAAAGAGGCUGAUAGGCAAACCCAUUACAUAUUAGAAUAAUCUGCCUAGAUCGUUGGUGAUUGACUUGAAUCGUUUCCGACGUAUUGGGCCCGUUACGGUCUGCGUAUUCCGUCAUCGACAGGAUAGCCAUAUAUGGCAAGUUAUACACGUAGCGUUUUCCCAUUAGAUGGAAUAUUUUAUGUUAUCACACAACCGUCCAAGAUAUUCUCUUCAUGGUAAGAGGCACUUCUCUCACGUCAAGUAUCAUGUCCCAUUCCUCUCUAUGCAAGAAAGCUCCCUCACCCUAAAGGGGCCAUCUUUAGUGGGCUGGCUUGGACUAGUGUGCCUAAAGCCGGCCUGGCCCGUUAAGCCUAAUAAAUCCCUGUUCAACCUGCAAAUAUAGAGGAGCUUGAGGAAAGUAAAGGAUGCGAUAAAAUUGAAAACUCGAGAAAGUAGUUACUAAACAAGUUGGGGUGCACAGAACCUAAUCAAUGCAGAUGCUGCCUUGCAUGUAAUAUAGGUUAUAAUAAAAAAAUAAAAAUUUGAAUUUUGGCUGAUUUUAUAAAAAAAAUGGAUCAAUUUGGGUCAAGUUGGACCAUUUUGUAAUAUUGGUCAAUUGAGUCAAGUUAGUCCAACAUAUGUAACAAGAUGGGAUUAUUUAACUACUAUGUUCACAUAAGCAAUAACAGUAAACGGACCGGAACAAUUGGGAAAUAUUCAAGUAUCUAAAAGAGCCAGCUAUAUCAGAAUAGUUAUGUUGGAGUUGAGUCGUAUAGCUUCUUAGGUACCAUUUGUUGCUUCAUUGAAUUUGCUUCCUUAAUAGGCUCACGAUUUGACUUUGAUCAUUAUGGACUGGUAUUAUGAUCUAGUCCUAGACAAGCAGACCUAAUUUUAACAGCAGGCAUAAUAACAAUGAAAAUGGCUCCUUCUUUAGUAAGAUUAAGAGUGUCUUGUAAACUAAUUAUUCGAUCUGGAGAUCCCAACAAGGCUGCCGGAGAAAUCAUUAAACCCAACGAUGUCUCUUGCAGAGAAGAAUUCGUAUAGAUUUUCCACGAACCCCAGUCCAGCCUACCCGACUGAUAUAAAAGCAGUUGGGCUUCACAAAACUAUUGCUCCUUAAAUAUACUGUAUAAUUAUAAAAUAUUAUAAUACUUUUAUAUUUUAUAAUUUUACUAAGCCUUGGAGUUAUGAGACUGAAAGUUUGAGUUGAGUUAUGAGAUUAAGUGUUUUGAAGUUAUGAAAUUGUUUAAGUUUUGUGGUUAACAGUCUGAUGAUGACUAUUUCUAUAAAAAAAAUUCUAAUAAUUAUUUAGACAUAGCUUUGAAAUUUUUAUUCCUUAAUACUUGCAUGUUAAACCGUAAACUGAACCAAACAAAAUCGCAGCAUUGGUGAACCAAUUACGGUGGUUGGAUUGUGAUUUGGAAUUUGGACAAAUUGCAGUAUACGAUUUGGUGCAUGGCUUGGACCCAAUACCAAAGCAACCCUAAAAUCAACUAUUCUCCCCUAAUCAAUCUAAUUAUUAAUAGGGAACUGUUAUUAGUACAUUAAAAAUCUCAUUCUAUACUUUUCACAAGUGUUAUUUUCUUUCUAAUUAUAGAAAGUUUAGAGUGCGAAAUGAGAUUUUUGAAAUGCUAAUAAUAAUUCCUCAUUAUUAUGGGAAUUAUUAUUAUUAUCCUUUCAUCUAUUAAUUUACACAUAUUCCUCCAGGGGCUGAUUGGGGCGCGAACAUAAGGUCUUUAUGACACAACCAAUAAUUUGAUACAUUUUCGAUAAUGCCUUGCUCUAACCUCUUUAGGCAAAAUGUAAUGUGUAAUCCAUAUCCUUUUUUAUUUUGUCUGUGCUAAUUAAGUUCAGCAAACUUAAAAGUUCGAAAAUAACUCAGCUCUUAUGAGUUACACGAGCCCCAACUCUUAUCUUUAACUCCAUAUAUUAUGUAUAAACGGUUUGGUUCGGUUAACUCACAGUUGUAAAAAUCAAAAAGGACAUACUAAGUUGAUUCUUCUUGUUUAAUUCAGUUUUAUAAACUGAAUGGAAAAUAAAAAAAAUCAAACCAACCCAAACGGUUUUGAUUUGGUUGGUUUUUCGAUUAUUUCUCUCCCGAUUUUCGGACUUCCACAAUUCAUGUAAAUACGUCAUUAGGAUAGCCUAUCUAGUUUGUUCAUUGAUUUGGAAUCCACUCAAACCUAAAGAAGGUAGAAAUGAAUAUAAUCAUAUUCUUUAUUUGCCAAAACAAGAAAACCUACUUCCAGAAUGUAAAGAGUAUGUUGACUAGUCAGUAUAUAAACGUAUAUAGGAAGUAUAGUAAAAUUGAGCAACAUCUUUCCUACUUACUUAAAAAAAAAAAAAAAAACAUCUUUCCUACUUCCAAAUGCAUGAUCCUUAAUGGGCACGAGCUAGUGUGUUUGGCACUGUGUAAAGCUUUGUUGGCCAACCCUUGCAUGCCUGGAAUGAUGAGUGGAUGGUAGAUGAUAGUGCCUCCAAAAAGUGGGAUAUUAAGUGAGCAAGUCAAAAACCCCUUUUUAAAAAUCAAACUUCACAAUUUAACAUAUAACAAACGUGCAUGAAAAUGGAUAAUAUUUGCACUCUCUCCUUAAAUGACGAGCUAAUUCCCCAUCUUCACUGUAAAAAUUAUAUAUUCAGAACCGUUUAUUUUUAAUCUUUAUUUGUAGAUCAUUUCUACAAAAGAUUGUUCGAAUUUGAUAUAUGUUUGUUCAUCUAAAUAUAUCAAAUAAUUCAACGGUUCAUCAUAAAUAUACUAUUUGCACCGACACCUAAAACUCACGUUUCUUUUCUACAAUCAGUGCGUACGGAACUAAAACAUGACAACCAAGUCUUGGCACCAAAGGCACGCAGACAUCUUCAUUGACCGAGUUCAAACAAUAUGAAACUUAUGCUUAUUCCUGGUCCUCAUUUUCUUCUUUUUUUUUUGACAAAACCAAAUAUUCGAGAUUUUAAUUUUAUCAAAAGAAUUGGACCACUAUACGAAUUACGAAGUCUUAGACUCGUGAUCAGUUUGAGUCGGCAAGGAGAGAACGUACAUAUAACUUAGGUGUAUUGAAGAGAAAGGGUGAUUUGCAUAGGCAGAUUUGUACCUUAUAGUGAUUGCAAUGGGAUAUUUCCACAUCAUGCACGAUUUUAAUUAAUUUGUUCUUUCAUUGGAGUAGCUUUGGUUGUCAUCGUCAAACUAGUAUGCGGUAGAAUCAAUGCCGGAGUCGCAUAUGUGCAUAUUUAUUUGGAUAUUUUGUGGUGAGUUGGGCCAUUGCCGUACCAACUUUAACCAGGCCGGAUUUGUGCUAGAUUCAUGCCAGAGUAAGCCUUUGUGCAUCUCUAGUGGGAAUCUAAUGCUUUAGGGACGUAUAACAUUAAUAAAUAUGCACAUAUAUAACAUACCAUAAGGUGAAUUUGCAAAGAUAUCACAUUGAAAAUUUAGUACUUGACUUGUCACAUGUAAUUAGAGGUGGCAAAUUAACCCAUUGAGUUAUUAAUAAAUACUCAUUAAGACUCAUUUAGUUUAAUUUUAUCGUACACCAUCAUCAUCACUAUCAAUAUCAUUCUUAUAUUAUGGUAAUAUCAAAUUAAAUGGGUUUUAACUGGUACCCAUUAAUAACUUAGUAAAUUAAUUUGCCACCAUAUAUAAAAAUUACAAGAUUAUUCUAGUGCAACAACACCACCAUACAAUAUUCUAAUAAAAGACAUGGAGACUAAUACUAUUCAUAGGAUUUUAAAGAUUCAACUUGUGCCUUUCCACAAGGCCCCUUCGUCCUAAUGUAAAGCCGAUACUGAUCAAAUGUCAUAGGCAAGUAAAGGGCAGGUCGAUCAUUUGUGACAAGAGCUUUGACAGGUUCAAUCAUCAAAUCACUCCUUGGGUUGUAAAACAAGGCCAGUGAAACUCUGUCUUUAACUGAAUUCACAGUCACUCUAUGCUCUACACUUUUGUAAAUUGCAUUGCUCAGCACCUGAGUUUGAUCUCCAACGUUCACGAUGAAGGCAUUAGGAACAGGCGUCACAGUCACCCAGUUUUCACCUUUACGAACUUGAAGUCCGGCCACAUUUUCAUCAGGUAAGAGAAGGGUCAGGCCACCUGGGUCAGAGUGUUCUGAGAGACCAAGGGUUAGGUCUGGCUGAGGGCAUUUUGGGUAAAAAUUGACCCGUAAGCAUGCCCCAAUGUUCUCUUCUCCUCCGAAAGCGUUGAGAAGUUGGUCUUCCCCAAGACCAAGGUUUAGAGACAACACCCUCAUCAGAAUCCCACAUAGUUGAACUGUUGCUUCACUGUAUUCUUCAAUCAAUCUCCUACAAACA
rnacentral:lncRNA from 1 species